rnacentral:rRNA from 1 species
UACAGAGGGUGCGAGCGUUAAUCGGAAUUACUGGGCGUAAAGCGUGCGUAGACGGCUAUCUAAGUCGGGUGUGAAAGCUCCGGGCUCAACUCGGAAAUUGCUUUGCAUACUGGCAGGCUGGAGGGACGCAGAGGUCUGUGGAAUUCCUGGUGUAACGGUGAAAUGUGUUGAUAUCAGGAGGAACACCAAUGGCGAAGGCAGCACUCUGGGACGUGACUGACGCUGCGACGCGAAAGCGUGGGGAGCAAACAGG